GACGAACGCUGGCGGCGUGCCUAAUACAUGCAAGUCGAACGCAGUGGGGACGGUUGAGUAACACGUGGGUAACCUCCCAUCAGAGGGGAUAACACUUGGAAACUGGUGCUAAACCGCUACUGAUGGAUGGACUCGCAGUGCUUUAGCUAGUUGGUGAGGUAACGGCUCACCAAGGCCACGAUGCAUAGCCGACCUGAGAGGGUGAUCGGCCACACUGGGACUGAGACACGGUCCAGACUCCUACGGGAGGCAGCAGUAGGGAAUCUUCGGCAAUGGACGAAAGUCUGACCGAGCAACGCCGCGUGAAUGAAGAAGGUUUUCGGAUCGUAAAGCUCUGUUGGUAGAGAAGCGGUAUCUAACCAGAAAGCAACGGCUAACUACGUGCCAGCCGCCGCGGUAAUUC
rnacentral:rRNA from 1 species